rnacentral:rRNA from 1 species
UAAUACAGAGGUCUCGAGCGUUAGUCGGAUUCACUGGGCUUAAAGCGUGCGUAGGCGGAUGCGCAGGCGUCGUGUGAAAGCCCUCGGCUCAACCGGGGAACUGCACGGCGAACCGCGCGUCUUGAGACGAGUAGGGGCGGCCGGAACGAUAGGUGGAGUGGUGAAAUGCGUUGAUAUCUAUCGGAACGCCAAAGGUGAAGACAGGCCGCUGGGCUCGUUCUGACGCUGAGGCACGAAAGCGUGGGGAGCAAACGGGAUUAGAUACCCCGGUAGUCCACGCUGUAAACGAUGUGCACGAGAUCGAGGAAGGUACUGACGCCUCUCUCGGUCGAAGUAAAAACGAUGAGUGCACCGCCUGGGGAGUACGGUCGCAAGGCUA